rnacentral:misc_RNA from 1 species
GGGAUUUUCAGAAGCACAAUAUAUGACAACAAUAUUCUAAAGAAAAUUCAACCUCAUUAUCCAAUGAUCAAAUUCAACAUACAUUUGAAUGUCAUAAUGAUAAGCCAGAGUAAAACCAUAUACAGCGUAUGAAAGUACUUGGUCAACCCAUAUAAAAGAUGAAAAUCUAACUGGUUUAAUGGGAUUUUUAGACAUCACAUUAUUCAUCAUCAGUUCAUUACUCGAUAACCACCAGACCCAAAAACAGG